GAUGAACGCUGGCGGCGUGCCUAAUACAUGCAAGUCGAGCGAACAGACGAGGAGCUUGCUCCUCUGAUGUUAGCGGCGGACGGGUGAGUAACACGUGGAUAACCUACCUAUAAGACUGGGAUAACUUCGGGAAACCGGAGCUAAUACCGGAUAACAUGUUGAACCGCAUGGUUCAACAGUGAAAGACGGUCUUGCUGUCACUUAUAGAUGGAUCCGCGCCGCAUUAGCUAGUUGGUAAGGUAACGGCUUACCAAGGCAACGAUGCGUAGCCGACCUGAGAGGGUGAUCGGCCACACUGGGACUGAGACACGGUCCAGACUCCUACGGGAGGCAGCAGUAGGGAAUCUUCCGCAAAGGGCGAAAGCCUGACGGAGCAACGCCGCGUGAGUGAAGAAGGUCUUCGGAUCGUAAAACUCUGUUAUUAGGGAAGAACAAAUGUGUAAGUAACUAUGCACGUCUUGACGGUACCUAAUCAGAAAGCCACGGCUAACUACGUG
rnacentral:rRNA from 1 species